AGAAUGGAACCAAAAUUUCUGCAAGGUGAAAUUCAAAAGAGAAUUCCAAGAUUCCUCCAAGGACAAACUGACAUUUGAAGAGAAUUUCAGGGUUUCUUCCAAGGAGAAACAUUGAAGAAUUUUCUCAGAAGGUCUCUCUGAUCAGCUGUUGUAUAACUGGCAUCAAAUUCUCACCUCACCAGAUAUGGAGCUAUGGAAGGUUAUACUUAGCAGCAGAGGCAAAGGAAACAAGACUUCACAGCAGAUUCUAUUACCAAUUAACUGAACGUCCUGUGAAAUAAACAUUGUCGCUGGGAUGGGAUUAGAACGUGAGAACCACAGGUCAUCCCAUGAAACUGAUUGCCAAGAAAUUUAGGAGCAAGAAAAGGAAGCAUUUUUUCACACAACACAUAAUUAACCUAUGGAAUUCAUUGCCACAAGAUGUGGUGACAGCCAACAGACUGGAUGGCUUUAAGAGGGGUUUAGAUAAAUUCAUGGAGGACAGGUCUAUCAAUGGCUACUAGCCUGAGGGCUAUAGGCCACCUCCAGCUUCAGAGGCAAGAUGCCUCUAAAUAGCAGUUGCUGGGGAAUAACAGCAGGAAAGAGGGCAUGCCUUCAUCUCUUGCCUGUGGGCUUCUUGGAGGCAUCUGGUGGGCCUCCACUGUUUGAAACAGGAUACUGGACUAGAUGGGCCUUGGGCUUGAUCCAGCAGGGGUGUUUGUGUGUUUGUGUGUGCAUAUGUUAAAACAGGAGUAGCCAACCUGAGACUCUCCAGCUGUUAUUGUGCUACAAUUUCCAUCAUCAAGCCAUAAGAGAGAGAGAGAGGGAGAGUGAGAGGGAGAGAGAGGGAGAGUGAAACAUGGGGUGCACAACUUGAAGGGCUCUUAUCAUGCUGAAAUUAUAUUCCAGUUGGAGAGCUCAGGUUAGCAAUCCCUGUGUUAAAACACUCAUAAUAUUUAAAAAGAAUUAAGAGAAUAUACUUUUGAAUUUUUACCAAAAAAAAUUGGACAACAUGACAGGCAAUGGUAUAUCAGCCUAGAAAAGCUGCAUGUACACAAGCUAUUCAGAUGCAAAGUUUGUGCAAAUGAUAUUACAUGAGAUGAAACCCAUUAUUUCCACUAUUAUUUUCACAAAUUUUACAUUGGCGCAACUUGGGUGCA